CAUCGUGAGAUGGGAUCUGAAGGAAGCCGGAUGUGGGGAACCUACUAACCCACGGGCAAACUUCUGGUCUGAUGGACAGAAACCGUAUAUAAGGCUGUACAUGAGGGUAAGUUUGCAAUUCAAUAUGAGGCCUGAUAGCUACACGGAAUCAUGUGCAGUAGAUGCGGAAGAUGGAUGGUGGGAAAGAAAC
rnacentral:ncRNA from 1 species